rnacentral:rRNA from 1 species
AUUGAACGCUGGCGGCAGGCCUAACACAUGCAAGUCGAGCGGAAACGAGUUMUCUGAACCUUCGGGGAACGWUAACGGCGUCGAGCGGCGGACGGGUGAGUAAUGCCUGGGAAAUUGCCCUGAUGUGGGGGAUAACCAUUGGAAACGAUGGCUAAUACCGCAUAAUAGCUUCGGCUCAAAGAGGGGGACCUUCGGGCCUCUCGCGUCAGGAUAUGCCCAGGUGGGAUUAGCUAGUUGGUGAGGUAAGGGCUCACCAAGGCGACGAUCCCUAGCUGGUCUGAGAGGAUGAUCAGCCACACUGGAACUGAGACACGGUCCAGACUCCUACGGGAGGCAGCAGUGGGGAAUAUUGCACAAUGGGCGCAAGCCUGAUGCAGCCAUGCCGCGUGUGUGAAGAAGGCCUUCGGGUUGUAAAGCACUUUCAGUCGUGAGGAAGGUAGUGUGUUUAAUAGAUGCA